AUUAUGUUUCGUAUCAGUAAUACAAGUCUAAAAAACUGAUUCAAAUGAUCAAGUUAACACAAUGAAGUAAAGAGUACUGGUAAUCUGCAGCUAUUUUCAUAAUUUCAAGGUAAAAUUCUGAUGUGUGAUUUUCUAGCUUUGCAGAUGUGGAAAUCCAAUGCACUGAUUUCUUAUACACAGAUGCUUUUGGUGUUUUUUGUUGUAAAAUAAAACAAGGCAUUUAUCACUGUUGGAAAUUAUUACAGGUAUUAUUUGUAACACUUUCUAACAUUGUAUGGACAAAGCAAUAAAUCAGUUAAUGGAUAAAAUCAUUUGUAUUACAGAUGCUAUCAACAGCAUGUCUUGUUCAUUUUAUUUAGUUGUCGGCCUUGGAUGAUGAGGUCCAGUUACCAGGAGCACUAGUCUGCAGCUUACUGGUUCCGUCCUGCAGCUCCUCCACGCCGUCCUCCUCUCUACAGACCAAAUCAAGAAAAGGGAACCAGGAAGCUGCUGUGGAUCCUCUGCAGUAUCUGGAGAGGUCAGAGGAACGGUUCUUGGAACAGAUCGGAAGACACCAAGACGUGACCUCUGCCAUGCUCCAGAACAUCCAGAAGAUGAAUGAAAACCUUGGUUGCACUGAUGGGACGCAUGGUGUCGGUGCUGGAGCAACUGUCCCAGAAUUAAACUGCAUUGUUGACUAUUGGCUUUUCUAGAAAAUAAAUCUUUUUUAGUACUUCACCUGUUUUGUAUUUUACCCAUGCACUUUGGGUGAAUAAACAGAAAUUUGUGAUGAGAGAUGCAAA